rnacentral:rRNA from 1 species
UACGUAGGGUGCAAGCGUUAAUCGGAAUUACUGGGCGUAAAGCGUGCGCAGGCGGUUUUGUAAGUCUGUCGUGAAAUCCCCGGGCUCAACCUGGGAAUUGCGAUGGAGACUGCAAGGCUAGAAUCUGGCAGAGGGGGGUAGAAUUCCACGUGUAGCAGUGAAAUGCGUAGAGAUGUGGAGGAACACCGAUGGCGAAGGCAGCCCCCUGGGUCAAGAUUGACGCUCAUGCACGAAAGUGUGGGGAGCAAACGGG